GCGCGACUGGCGGAAUUGGUAGACGCACCAGGUUUAGGUCCUGGCGGGAGACCGUAGGGGUUCGAGUCCCUUGCCGCGCACCA
rnacentral:tRNA from 1 species